UGAGGCUUACAGUGUUGCGUAUAUACGUGUAUAAUGACUGUUUGUGUCAGUCUAAAACGGCUAACCAGAUGUGCACAUUUCACAGUGUCCGCUGAAACCAGCAGGAUGGCUGCAGCUGGGCCUUUCUUCACCCGAGAGCCGGAGUCUGAACGUGCCACACUUCCCCAUUUUCUGGAUGUCAGACAAUACGAGGCCUUUUAGCAGCAUUUCAGACUUUUUGCUUUCCUUUCGAGUCAACAGAAACUCAGCUGCCUGAAGGUGGGUGAGGCCAAACAGCAGCACAAACCUUCCUCUGGAGGAAGGGACCCGAUCCCGCUAACCUGCUCCACUGAGGUGCUGUGCAGUUUCAAUGCCAAGACACUGAUUUGAUAACUGUGGUUUCUUCUUACUGACCUGGCUGGGAAAAGCUGCCUUGUUGCUCAACAGCACUUUGUCUUCAUGAUUUAUAUGUUGCUUGACACAGCUAAGCAUGAUGCUGCAGUGUGAGAACUGCUUGCUGGCCGGCCGGCUGCAUGAGCUUCUCCACAGAAAGGUCUGUGCUGUGAACUGCUUUACUACCAACUGGGGCUUCUGCAAGAAAAGAAUGCAUCAGAAACACAAGAAUGUGUACGUUUGUUGUCAUGUUCCAUUCAAAAUAUGUAAAAGGAAAAAAAACUGUAAUUAACGUUGCAUUUAAGCCUGCUUGACUGUACUAAGCAUGACCUACAAGCCCAAGGAAUGCUACUGAGAUUUCCCUGAAAAAUGUUGAAACCGUUUAUUUGCCUGCUGAAUGGACUGAUUUUGAGAUAUGAGCAUGCUUUCCAUCGAAGAACAUCCUGAAAUUAAUUUCAGUUAAUGCCAUUUAUAUUACUCACUCUUCCCUGUUGAACUGGGCGUCCUGGAUUUCAACAUAUGCUGCUGUGCUGUGUAUUCCAGCUGUGACUGCAGCAGUGCUAAAUGUGUCUGCUUGAUGGAGAGCAUUAGCAGAACUCGGAUGUAGUCCAUCUAUUAGAUGGUUCUCCAGGAGGUGACAUUUCUGCACAGCUCAUCAGUGACAUCCCCUAUUCCCUCUCUUGGCCACAUUUGCAAGCUUCCAAACGUGUUUGUGAAUGUGACCAAAUUCUGGCCCUCGAGAUCAAAGGUCUGUCCACAUCUCUCUCUGGCACUACAGAUCUGGGAUGCUGCAAGCCAGUAUUCAAGAAUCCUGUCAAACUUGAGCAUAUCUGUGAUUUAUAAUGUAGAAAACCAUGUAGACUCUCAUCAUACACUUAGUACUCAACAGUCUACAGAAGCAGAACCUACCAAGAAAGCAAAUGUCAAAAAAGCAGCGUGAGCAAAGUUAAGAAUCUUCCACGUAAGGGGAUAUGUUUCUGGCUUGGAGCCAACCGGGGAGAAGAAGAAAUUCCUAAAUAUAGGAGCCCGGAAGGUGUGAAAGAACUGUUGGAUGCUGAAGUAUGUCAGGGACAAGAUUGGUGAUGAGUAAGAGCUUCCGCUGCUGGAAGCGGAGCGUGCUGGCAGGUAGCAGACUCCGUGAUCUUCUGAACAAGGAACAAAUCCUUGCUGAUCCUCCCCUAGUUGUGACAGUAAGUAUAAAUAUAUGAAAUCACCGAAAGAGGGAGUGAUGCUUGAGCACUCGUUUAAGAGUUCUGGCAACCUGACAGCAGUAAGCUCCACUUCCAAGUGAUGUAGAAGCAAUUUUCACUCUUGUGAAAACUCCCAUUUCUGAAAGUAGAUUGCCAAAAUAACUGAUGUUGAUCAUAUGGGACUGUGUGUCAUGCAUCGCAUAUAUCCGCUUAUUUGCUCUUUUUUGAUUUUGGUUUUGUUUAUCCAAAAAUAAUGGUAUCCUAUUGACAAAGGAUUCUUAUUUUUUUGUCAUAAGCACACAGCAAUACAGUGUUUUUUUCACACAGUACAGAGCCAUCCAUGUGUUUCUGUGUCAAGAAAUGCAGCGAUAACUUCUGCUCUGUCUGCUUACAGGAAUAGCUACUGCUUGAUGCCAGUCUGUAUUAUCUGCACUUCCCUCUGUCACUGAGAUGGGCUGGCUCAGCAGAACAAGUAUGAGCACAUAAGAGUGACAUUUUGUGUUUCUGAGGUAGUAAUAUCUUAAUUACUCUUAAAUCGUGAGCUUUUUGAGCAUUUUAUAUAUUGCAUAUACAUAUACAUUACCUAUUAUAUAUAAUAGAAGGGAAAGAUGAUUACAAGCACAAGAGAAGACACAUCACCUAAGAGUGCUGUAAGAAAAGAUCAGUGUGGAGGUAGAAACUCCUGUGAAGCUUACAGCAGGAAAGACCUGCCAUGGCCAAAUGCACAAGUUUGUUUCCCCUUAACAACUGUCAAUGGUUUUAAGAUUUUGAGAUGUAAUCAGUUACAGAGAUAACAAUCUCAAGGUAAAACAGAUACAGCUGCUGCCGUGGAACUAUCCUUUCAUUUCUUCCCCGUAUUCAGAGCAUUUUCAACAUUAAUUUUCACAUACACUUUAUGUCACAUAAUUUCUCUCUCAACAUUUAUUUAUUUGUACGUGAUUUUUAUGCUUACAGCUUACAAGCUAUCUGCCACAAAAGCUUUAAGAAUGCAGAAUGGAUUUCUCUACGGUCAUGAUCCGAAGGGAAUUUUAUCAGGGAGUUUCUGGGUUUGUUAUGGAGCAAAAGAAUGUAUUUGUUCUUCUGUUGUACUGCACUUCUGCACUGAGAAUGAAGAGACUCAGUCCUGCUAAUAGACUGAGAAAAGAGAUUAAGCAUACAAGCUAAGGAUUCUGCAUAUUGAAAUACAGUAAAUCUGAAAAAUACUGGAAGACAUUGGUGGUUUGCUGGAGGUAAGGUUUAAUUUUGCACUGAAAAUACGGUAUUAUGGUAUGUAUUCUGCCCUAAAUCAUAGCAUUAGGCCUGGGAGUAUUAAACCAUUUUUUGGGAACUUACAGAUAGCAAUUUAUAAUUAGGGAUGAAUUAAAGAAGUCUAAUAGAGUACACAGAGAAACCCUGAAUGUAAAGUAAUAGGUUUUGGGGUUGUUGCCACAUUGUACUUUAAAUCCCUGCCAGAUAGUUUUGACUCGUAUUUUAACAUGAUUUGUUUGGAAAUAAACCAGAAAUUAGCGACACACUGCCAGGCUAUGCAGUAUUUCAGUCUGAAUGGUGUCCACUUACUUACAUUCUAACUUACAAUUUUCAUGUGGUCCUUUUCCUCAGAGUCAUGAACUAACGACUAAUUCACACCAUUAGCAUGUUGCCACUGCAAACUGGCAAUAAGAAGAAAAAAGAGGAAAAAUGCAGUGUGUAAAGAGCUUGCUCACUCGUCAGAGUUUUCAAUAUGAACAAUAUGCAACACCAAAUGUUCUGUGGUACAUCUUCACAAGUCUUAGAAAUGGGAGGCUUUGUAACAGCGUGCCUCCAUCCCUUUCUAGGAAGGGAAAGAACAACGCCAUUUUAUGCUUUAACAAGCUGUCAUAAUGGGUAAUGACUUCAUAAGAGCAUAUAGAGGAAGUGGAAUACGUACAUUUAAUCAAAUAAAAUUAGUGACUGUAUUUAGCUAUUCAGUGUAGUGCCUUCACGAAGGAUAGCGCUCAAUGGUGAGUCACACAAAUCCCAUGAAUGCUGUUGGCCGUGGGUACAGUAGAUACAGUGGGCUUGGUGAGUUCAUAAGAAGCCUCACAUUUUGCUCAUCAUUUAAGAUGAUGGGAGAGGAGGAACAAUUUUUUAGCAUCUUCAUCCUUCACCUCUAUGCAAAUUUACAAUUCAGCUGCACAUUUCCUAGCACUGAGAUGGGAAUGGCUUUGAAGGCCUACAUAGAAAGUGUCCUUCCUCGAAUAGAGUACCAUCUAACUUAAUGACAAACAUAUACAAAAAUGUAGAGUGCCUGUUUUAGUAAAAACACACUAUUUUUAAUGCAGAUCUUUGGCCAACUGAUCGGACCUCCAUCUAACUUCCUGAGGACAAUAUUCUUCUCAGGAGCUAUAUUAUUGUCUCUCAGGUUACCUGUCUAUUUCACUAGUGUAAGCUCCUCAGCAAUUUGGGCUGCAUCAUUUCCACAAUGCUUGCAACAGUUUGACCUACCAUCAUUUAUGCAAAAAGAUGUGCUUGAGCACUGGACUACAUCACAGAAAUCUGCAUUUUGUUCUUCCAUCUGCAGGUCACCUGGACAGGUACCUGGCAAGGCUAUCUCCCUGUGCCUCAGCUGCUUCACCUGCAAAGUGGGGAUAAUGACAUUCAGUCGCUUUUUAAAACCAUUUUAAGGUAUACAUAAUUAAUUGCUUAGCAGUGUGGAUUCUCCCUGGGGGAUAUCAUGCAGCUGCCAAUAAAUUGACUCAUCCACUUUCCUAUUACCGUUUUUAUUUAAACAUUCACUAUUUUUUUUUCCUGUGACAUAGCAAAACACCCAUUUUGCCAAACAGCAAUUGCAAGGAAGAUUUUAUCCAGCACAAGAGUAAUUAGAAUCGUGGAGAAGUGAUGAGAUUGCCAUCAGCUCUGAGCUUAAGGGACUGUCCUGUAUUUUAAGUUCAAGAAAUCCAAGCAGCAAAAAGAGUUUCCAGUUCAAGUCUGCCCUCCGCUGGCAUUAAUGAAACACUGCUAAUGAAUUUUGAAUCAAUAUUGUCUUUGUGUAACAAAGGAGGGGAACUAAAUCCAUAGAGGCUGACACAGAUGACACCUUUAGAUAACUUUAUUUUUUUUCAUUUUUUAUAAUAAAGACUUUGUAAAUAUCUUCUUUUAAAGGCUCAUGUAGGCUCACUGCCUGAUUCCUAUUCUUCAGGCUUUUGAAAGCCUGCCAGCAUUUCAUUCCCAUCAGACAGCUGCCAAAACUAACAUACACGCGAGAAGUAAUUUUCUGCACAUGUUUUUUAAGGGAUUUAAUAGAAAAGCUGCAGAAAAAUACUAUGCUAUGAUACAAUUAACAAUUCUAAUAUACUGUGCUAUACAU
ensembl:lncRNA